rnacentral:rRNA from 1 species
UUGUAGCCUGCUAUGGUAUAACUUAGUGGCAGACGGGUGAGUAAUGUAUAGGAAUCUACCUAGUAGUAUGGAAUAAUUGUUGGAAACGGCAACUAAUACCGUAUACGCCCUACGGGGGAAAAAUUUAUUGCUAUUGGAUGAGCCUAUAUUAGAUUAGCUAGUUGGUGGAGUAAUAGCCUACCAAGGCAAUGAUCUAUAGCUGAUCUGAGAGGAUGAUCAGCCACACUGGAACUGAGAUACGGUCCAGACUCCUACGGGAGGCAGCAGUGGGGAAUAUUGGACAAUGGGCGAAAGCCUGAUCCAGCCAUGCCGCAUGAGUGAAGAAGGCCUUUGGGUUGUAGAGCUCUUUUAGUGAGGAAGAUAAUGACGGUACUCACAGAAGAAGUCCUGGCUAACUCCGUGCCAGCAGCCGCGGUAAUACGGAGAGGGCUAGCGUUAUUCGGAAUUAUUGGGCGUAAAGGGCGCGUAGGCUGGUUAAUAAGUUAAAAGUGAAAUCCCGAGGCUUAACCUUGGAAUUGCUUUUAAAACUAUUAAUCUAGAGAUUGAAAGAGGAUAGAGGAAUUCCUGAUGUAGAGGUAAAAUUCGUAAAUAUUAGGAGGAACACCAGUGGCGAAGGCGUCUAUCUGGUUCAAAUCUGACGCUGAAGCGCGAAGGCGUGGGGAGCAAACAGGAUUAGAUACCCUGGUAGUCCACGCUGUAAACGAUGAAUGUUAAAUAUGGGAAGUUUACUUUCUGUAUUACAGCUAACGCGUUAAACAUUCCGCCUGGGGACUACGGUCGCAAGAUUAAAACUCAAAGGAAUUGACGGGGACCCGCACAAGCGGUGGAGCAUGUGGUUUAAUUCGAUGCAACGCGAAAAACCUUACCACUUCUUGACAUGAAAAUCAUACCUAUUC